GGAGUCUGGGCCGUGUCUCAGUCCCAAUGUGGCCGUUCAACCUCUCAGUCCGGCUACCGAUCGUCGCCUUGGUGGGCUGUUAUCCCGCCAACCAGCUAAUCGGACGCGAGUCCAUCCAUAAGCGGAUUUCUCCUUUGAUAUCUAAAUCAUGCGAUCUAAAUAUUUUAUGCGGUAUUAGCGUCCUUUUCAGAACGUUAUCCCCCUCUUAUGGGCAGGUUACUCACGCGUUACUCACCCGUCCGCCACUAAGAUAUCCCUUCAUUCAACCGAAAUCUCAUUCCGAAAUAUCUCCGUUCGACUUGCAUGUGUUAGGCACGCCGCCAGCGUUCGUCCUGAGCCACGGAUCAAACUACU
rnacentral:rRNA from 1 species